CGAUCGGGAGGCCUUCGGUGGGACGAAGGCCAUGAAUGGAUCGGAACACGCCCUCUCGGAUGGAUGCGCGGCCGGGGCCCGACGGUCUGCGCG
rfam:Roseivivax atlanticus strain 22II-s10s contig2, whole genome shotgun sequence.